UCCCAUAUGGUCUAGCGGUCAGGAUUCUUGGUUUUGCCCCCAGCGCGCCCGGGCCGGGUUCGACUCCGGUAUGGGAA